UACGAAGGGGGCUAGCGUUGUUCGGAAUUACUGGGCGUAAAGCGUGCGUAGACGGUUAUGUAAGUCGGAUGUGAAAGCCCCGGGCUCAACCUGGGAAUGGCAUUCGAGACUGCAUAGCUAGGAUGCGGAAGAGGGCAGUGGAAUUUCGGGUGUAGCGGUGAAAUGCGUAGAUAUCCGAAGGAACAUCAGUGGCGAAAGCGACUGCCUGGUCCAGCAUCGACGUUCAGGCACGAAAGCGUGGGGAGCAAACAGG
rnacentral:rRNA from 1 species